rnacentral:rRNA from 1 species
AGGGUUUGAUUAUGGCUCAGAACGAACGCUGGCGGCAGGCCUAAUACAUGCAAGUCGAGCGCGCCCUUCGGGGUGAGCGGCGGACGGGUGAGUAACGCGUGGGAAUAUGCCCUUCUCUAAGGAAUAGCCUCUGGAAACGGAGAGUAAUACCUUAUACGCCCUUUUGGGGAAAGAUUUAUCGGAGAAGGAUUAGCCCGCGUUAGAUUAGGUAGUUGGUGGGGUAAUGGCCUACCAAGCCUACGAUCUAUAGCUGGUUUGAGAGGAUGAUCAGCCACACUGGGACUGAGACACGGCCCAGACUCCUACGGGAGGCAGCAGUAGGGAAUCUUAGACAAUGGGGGCAACCCUGAUCUAGCCAUGCCGCGUGUGUGAUGAAGGCCCUAGGGUCGUAAAGCACUUUCGCCAGAGAUGAUAAUGACAGUAUCUGGUAAAGAAACCCCGGCUAACUCCGUGCCAGCAGCCGCGGUAAUAC